GUGAGUUCGAGAGAUGAAACCAUUAACGGAUGUGAAUGGGCUUUUGGCUCACGUGUCCGAGAGCGCAUAAUUUCGUGUGGAUAACCCGUUGCCUUCCUUCUGAUUCCCUCU
rnacentral:snoRNA from 1 species